rnacentral:rRNA from 1 species
AUUGAACGCUGGCGGCAGGCCUAACACAUGCAAGUCGAGCGGAGCGGCGGAAGGGUGAGUAAUGUAUGGGGAUCUGCCCGAUAGAGGGGGAUAACGUCCGGAAACGGGCGCUAAUACCACAUACUAUCAGAUGAGCCUAGGUCGGAUUAGCUAGUUGGUGGGGUAAAGGCCUACCAAGGCGAAGAUCCGUAACUGGUCUGAGAGGAUGAGCAGUCACACUGGAACUGUGACACGGUCCAGACUCCUACGGGAGGCAGCAUUGGGGAAUAUUGCACAAUGGGCGCAAGCCUGAUGCAGCCAUGCCGCGUGUAUGAAGAAGGCCCUAGGGUUGUAAAGUACUUUCAGUCGGGAGGCGUUACCGACAGAAGAAGCACCGGCUAACUCCGUGCCAGCAGCCGCGGUAAUAC